CACUGAGCCACCAAAUACUCACAGGGGGACUUCCGGGUGCGCGUCCUUCCAGAUCCUUCUCCCUGAGAGGUGGGAUAAUACGUGAAGUGCCACCAGCUCUGGUUCGCCCACCCUUCUUACCUUCUUCUCUAGAGGAGCCCUCCUCCACUCCUGAUUUGGGAAGAUGUAAGCCUCUGCCUACACUGUGGAGGACCUGGGUUCCAGCCCUGGGUCGGGAAGAUCUCCUGGAGAAGGCAAUGGCAACCCACCCCAGUAUUCUUGCCUGGAAAAUCCCAUGGACAGAGGAGCCUGGCCUCGGAGCUCUUGGGAAAGUCAUGAAGGUGGAGUCAACAUCUAACAUCAGCUGGAGACUCUGAGUCGUGUUGAACUUCUCUUCCUCUUGGGACUCCUUCUUGGCAUUUCCCCGGAGGGAGCUUCAAGCCUGGGACCUCAAGAGCCUGAAUACAUAAGAAGGAGGAGAGCAUGGGUCAGACCCUGAGAAAAACCAACAAUUUGAGGAGCAGAAGAAGAAUCUUCAAAAGGAGAAGAGAAGGAGAAAUGGGAGGAAAACUAGGAAUGCUUCCUGAAGCAUCCCUGAAGUGAAGGAAGUGAGUGCUUAGAAGCACUGAAUGUCAUCAGAUCCCAAAUCAACUGAUUUUUGUUUCGAUGGGUGAUGAAAAAGGAAACAACUUUUUGGAAACUCAGUAUCUUAAAACUGGGAGCUGGGGGAAGAGCAUUUGGGUGAGGGAAUACAUAAGCCAUUCUCCAGUGGAAGCCAAGGCAAGUUGUUUAUUAAUGCCAACUGCAAAAUACAUACAGGGAUGAGAAAUGAGUGAUGAGGAUUGCAACUAGAUCUGACUUUGAGCUCCUCAAGGUCAAGGCUUGUGUCUUAUUCACCCAC
ensembl:lncRNA